GAUGAACGCUAGCUACAGGCUUAACACAUGCAAGUCGAGGGGCAGCGCAGUGUAGCAAUACAUGGGCGGCGACCGGCGCACGGGUGCGUAACGCGUAUCCAACCUUCCCGUUACUCAGGGAUAGCCUUCCGAAAGGGAGAUUAAUACCUGAUGGUGUUUGAAUUCCGCAUGUUAUUCAAACUAAAGAUUAAUCGGUAACGGAUGGGGAUGCGUGACAUUAGAUAGUAGGCGGGGUAAUGGCCCACCUAGUCUACGAUGUCUAGGGGUUCUGAGAGGAAGGUCCCCCACACUGGAACUGAGACACGGUCCAGACUCCUACGGGAGGCAGCAGUGAGGAAUAUUGGUCAAUGGUCGGAAGACUGAACCAGCCAAGUAGCGUGAAGGAUGAAGGUUCUAUGGAUUGUAAACUUCUUUUAUACGGGAAUAAAACGUCCCACGUGUGGGAUCUUGUAUGUACCGUAUGAAUAAGCAUCGGCUAACUCCGUG
rnacentral:rRNA from 1 species